rnacentral:tRNA from 1 species
GGAGUUGUGGCUCAGCGGUAGAGCGCUCGCCUAGCACAUGUGAGGCCCUGGGUUCGAUUCUUAGCACCA